CAAUAGCGUAUAUUAAAGUUGUUGCAGUUAAAAAGCUCGUAGUUGGAUUUCGGGGCAGCCUGGCUGGUCCGCCGCAAGGCGAGUACUGGUCAGCCGCCCUUCCUCUCGAAAGCCCCGACUGCUCUUUAUUGCAGUGGUCGGGUAGUUCGGGACGUUUACUUUGAAAAAAUUAGAGUGUUCAAGGCAGGCCUGCGCCUGAAUACAUUAGCAUGGAAUAAUGGAAGAGGACCUCGGUCCUAUUUUGUUGGUUUCCAGGACCGAAGUAAUGAUUAAGAGGGACAGUUGGGGGCAUUCGUAUUUAAUUGUCAGAGGUGAAAUUCUCGGAUUUAUGAAAGACGAACAACUGCGAAAGCAUUUGCCAAGGAUGUUUUCAUUAA
rnacentral:rRNA from 1 species